AGAGUUCUCAGAGCAUACAACAUGUAAACUUAAAAUUGGGUAAAGUCAUGAGACUCAAUUUAUGAGUCAAAAUCUUGAACUCCAUGAUAUUCACACAAUUAAUGGGGAAGACGUAAAUCACAUAACUUGAUAACUAGUUGUUAAAUAUCAUCUACAAACUUUCUCUUGAACAUUCUGUAGAUGAGCCGUCGGUGUGGAGGAAGUUAGGUUCUCUCUUUAACCUUGCUUGCACGUUAAAACCCUAAUACGUGUUUUUCGUUAGUGUAACACGAUAUGGGUAUGUGCAUUGUUAUAGAUAGAGAGAACCUGUUUCCUUGAAACUCAUAAUUAUUUAUCACCCAUCACAAUAAUAUCCAUUAAACUGAAUAUAUCACACUCGGACCAUAUCAUGUGCACCACAUUAGGUUAUAAUAAUAUUCUUACCCGAGGCCACGUCCUGCAGGCGAAGCUGAACUCACUGCGUCACUAUGCCUAUCUAUAUCUAGCUCAUUCUUAUGUAGCAGUGUUGAAAGUACAACACCAGCCCAUAACUUAAAGCCUAGCCCAUUAUGAAGUCUUGAUGUUCUAGAUGAAUUAUACAUGGGAUUUUGCUAGAAAGUUCUAGCAAGCAUGUCGGUGGGAACAAGCUAGAAUUGUCUAGCUAUUAUAACAAUUGUGUGGCCAUUAUGUAAUGCCCAUGUCGGUGGGCAGAGGGAAAGUUGAUGAACACCACCUAUAAA
rnacentral:lncRNA from 1 species